rnacentral:rRNA from 1 species
CUACGGGGGGCUGCAGUGGGGAAUAUUGCACAAUGGGCGCAAGCCUGAUGCAGCCAUGCCGCGUGUAUGAAGAAGGCCUUCGGGUUGUAAAGUACUUUCAGCGGGGAGGAAGGGAGUAAAGUUAAUACCUUUGCUCAUUGACGUUACCCGCAGAAGAAGCACCGGCUAAGUCCGUGCCAGCAGCCGCGGUGAAUACGGAGGGUGCAAGCGUUAAUCGGAAUUACUGGGCGUAAAGCGCACGCAGGCGGUUUGUUAAGUCAGAUGUGAAAUCCCCGGGCUCAACCUGGGAACUGCAUCUGAUACUGGCAAGCUUGAGUCUCGUAGAGGGGGGUAGAAUUCCAGGUGUAGCAGUGAAAUGCGUAGAGAUCUGGAGGAAUACCGGUGGCGAAGGCGGCCCCCUGGACGAAGACUGACGCUCAGGUGCGAAAGCGUGGGGAGCAAACAGGAUUAGAUACCCCUGUAGUC